UUUAGACCGUAUCGGAUUACUGGGCGUAAGCGUGCGCAGGCGGUUUUGUAAGUCUGUCGUGAAAGCCCCGGGCUCAACCUGGGAAUUGCGAUGGAGACUGCAAGGCUUGAAUCUGGCAGAGGGGGGUAGAAUUCCACGUGUAGCAGUGAAAUGCGUAGAGAUGUGGAGGAACACCGAUGGCGAAGGCAGCCCCCUGGGUCAAGAUUGACGCUCAUGCACGAAAGCGUGGGGAGCAAACAGGAUUAGAUACCCUGGUAGUCCACGCCCUAAACGAUGUCUACUAGUUGUCGGGUUUUAAUUAACUUGGUAACGCAGCUAACGCGUGAAGUAGACCGCCUGGGGAGUACGGUCGCAAGAUUAAAACUCAAAGGAAUUGACGGGGACCCGCACAAGCGGUGGAUGAUGUGGAUUAAUUCGAUGCAACGCGAAAAACCUUACCUACCCUUGACAUGUCAGGAACCUCCGAGAGAUCGGGGGGUGCCCGAAAGGGAACCUGAACACAGGUGCUGCAUGGCUGUCGUCAGCUCGUGUCGUGAGAUGUUGGGUUAAGUCCCGCAACGAGCGCAACCCUUGUCAUUAGUUGCUACAUUCAGUUGAGCACUCUAAUGAGACUGCCGGUGACAAACCGGAGGAAGGUGGGGAUGACGUCAAGUCCUCAUGGCCCUUAUGGGUAGGGCUUCACACGUCAUACAAUGGUACAUACAGAGGGCCGCCAACCCGCGAGGGGGAGCUAAUCCCAGAAAGUGUAUCGUAGUCCGGAUCGUAGUCUGCAACUCGACUACGUGAGGUUGGAAUCGCUAGUAAUCGCGGAUCAGCAUGUCGCGGUGAAUACGUUCCCGGGUCUUGUACACACCGCCCGUCACACCAUGGGAGCGGGUUUUACCAGAAGUAGGUAGCUUAACCGCAAGGAGGGCGCUUACCACGGUAGGAUUCGUGACUGGGGUG
rnacentral:rRNA from 1 species